ACUCCUACGGGAGGCAGCAGUAGGGGAAUCUUCCGCAAUGGGCGAAAGCUUGACGGAGCAACGCCGCGUGAGUGAUGAACGGUCGUUCGGAAUCGUAAAACUCUGUUAUUAGGGAAGAACAAAUGUGUAAGUAACUAUGCACGUCUUGACUGGUACCUAAUCAGAAAGCCACGGCUAACUACGUGCCAGCAGCCGCGGUAAUACGUAGGUGG
rnacentral:rRNA from 1 species